GAUGAAGAACGCAGCAAAAUGCGAUACUUGGUGUGAAUUGCAGAAUCCCGUGAACCAUCGAGUUUUUGAACGCAAGUUGCGCCCGAAGCCUUUUGGUCGAGGGCACGUCUGCCUGGGCGUCACGCAUCGCGUCGCCCCCUCCCACAAUUCUCCGCAAAGGGAACUGGUGUUUUGGGGGCGGAUAUUGGUCUCCCGUGCUCAUGGCGUGGUUGGCCGAAAUAGGAGUCCCUUCGAUGGACGCACGAACUAGUGGUGGUCGUAAAAACCCUCGUCUUUUGUUUCGUGCCGUUAGUCGCGAGGGAAACUCUUAGAAAACCCCAGCGUGUCGUCUUUUGACGGCGCUUCGACCGCGACCCCAGGUCAGGCGGGACUACCCGCUGAGUUUAAGCAUAUCAAUAAGCGGAGGA
rnacentral:misc_RNA from 1 species